GAUCAUGGCUCAGGACGAACGCUGGCGGCGUGCUUAACACAUGCAAGUCGAACGAAGAGCGAUGGAAGCUUGCUUCUAUCAAUCUUAGUGGCGAACGGGUGAGUAACGCGUAAUCAACCUGCCCUUCAGAGGGGGACGAACAGUUGGAACGACUGCUAAUACCGCAUACGAUCUAAUCUCGGCAUCGAGGAUGGAUGAAAGGUGGCCUCUAUUUAUAAGCUAUCACUGAAGGG
rnacentral:rRNA from 1 species